rnacentral:rRNA from 1 species
UACGUAGGGUCCAAGCGUUAUCCGGAAUUACUGGGCGUAAAGCGUGCGCAGGCGGUCUGUUAAGACCGAUGUGAAAUCCCCGGGCUUAACCUGGGAACUGCAUUGGUGACUGGCAGGCUUUGAGUGUGGCAGAGGGAGGUAGAAUUCCACGUGUAGCAGUGAAAUGCGUAGAGAUCGGGAGGAAUACCAGUGGCGAAGGCGGCCUGCUGGGCCACGACCGACACUGAGGUGCGAAAGCGUGGGGAGCGAACCGG